GUUCCUACGGGAGGCAGCAGUGGGGAAUAUUGCACAAUGGGGGAAACCCUGAUGCAGCGACGCCGCGUGAAGGAAGAAGUAUUUCGGUAUGUAAACUUCUAUCAGCAGGGAAGAAAAUGACGGUACCUGACUAAGAAGCCCCGGCUAACUACGUGCCAGCAGCCGCGGUAAUACGUAGGGGGCAAGCGUUAUCCGGAUUUACUGGGUGUAAAGGGAGCGUAGGCGGUGCAGCAAGUCAGAAGUGAAAGCCCGGGGCCCAACCCCGGGACUGCUCUUGGAACUGCAUGGCUGGAGUACAGGAGGGG
rnacentral:rRNA from 1 species